rnacentral:rRNA from 1 species
GAUGAACGCUGGCGGCGUGCUUAACACAUGCCAGUCGAACGGAGUGGCGAACGGGUGAGUAACACGUGGGUGAUCUGCCCUGUACUUCGGGAUAAGCUUGGGAAACUGGGUCUAAUACCGGUGAGUAUGGGAUGAGCUCGCGGCCUUUCCGCGUGUGGGUGGGGUCAUGGCCUACCAAGGCGUCGACUGGUAGCCGGCCUGAGCGGGUGUACGGCAAGAUUGGGACUGAGAUACGGGCCAGACGCCGACGGGAGGCAGCAGGGGGGAAGAUUGCACAAUGGGCGCAAGCCUGAUGCAGCGACGACGCGUGGGGGAUGAAGGCCGUCGGGUUGUAAACUCCUUUCGCUAGGGACGCGGUACCUGGAGAAGAAGCACCGGCUAACUACGUGCCAGCAGCCGCGGUAAUAC